CUGAACGCCUCUAAGUCAGAAUCCGUGCUAGAAACGAUGAUGUUGGUGUCGCACAUUAGACUUGUGUUUAAAUAGAGCUUUGCUCGUGAACCAAAUAUGGUGGGCUGGGUUGUCUUUGCGGAAACGCUUGGGCGACUUGUCUACGAAUUGUAAUCAUAAUAUGGGCGGCGGUGAAUC
rnacentral:rRNA from 1 species